rnacentral:lncRNA from 1 species
AUCAGGAUAACUCUUAUCAUGUGUGAAAUUAGUUUUGGUAUAGUUUAGGAGUAGUGUCGAUGGACCAGCUGAUCAGGAUAACUCUUAUCAUGUGUGAAAUUAGUUUUGGUAUAGUUUAGGAGUAGUGUCGAUGGGCCAGCUGAUCAGAAUAACUCUUAUCAUGUGUGAAAUUAGUUUUGGUAUAGUUUAGGAGUAGUGUCGAUGGACCAGCUGAUCAGGAUAACUCUUAUCAUGUGUGAAAUUAGUUUUGGUAUAGUUUAGGAGUAGUGUCGAUGGGCCGGCUGAUCAGGAUAACUCUUAUCAUGUGUGAAAUUAGUUUUGGUAUAGUUUAGGAGUAGUGUCGAUGGGCCGGCUGAUCAGGAUAACUCUUAUCAUGUGUGAAAUUAGUUUUGGUACAGUUUAGGAGUAGUGUCGAUGGGCCAGCUGAUCAGGAUAACUCUUAUCAUGUGUGAAAUUAGUUUUGGUAUAGUUUAGGAGUAGUGUCGAUGGGCCAGCUGAUCAGGAUAACUCUUAUCAUGUGUGAAAUUAGUUUUGGUACAGUUUAGGAGUAGUGUCGAUGGGCCAGCUGAUCAGGAUAACUCUUAUCAUGUGUGAAAUUAGUUGUGGUAUAGUUUAGGAGUAGUGUCGAUGGGCAAGCUGAUCAGGAUAACUCUUAUCAUGUGUGAAAUUAGUUUUGGUACAGUUUAGGAGUAGUGUCGAUGGGCCAGCUGAUCAGGAUAACUCUUAUCAUGUGUGAAAUUAGUUUUGGUACAGUUUAGGAGUAGUGUCGAUGGGCCAGCUGAUCAGGAUAACUCUUAUCAUGUGUGAAAUUAGUUUUGGUACAGUUUAGGAGUAGUGUCGAUGGGCCAGCUGAUCAGGAUAACUCUUAUCAUGUGUGAAAUUAGUUUUGGUAUAGUUUAGGAGUAGUGUCGAUGGGCCGGCUGUGAAGGUUGACUGCUAUUAUUUGUUUCCCGCUCAUCAACUUGGACAGAGUCCAGGACAUGUUUUACAUCACUCUAAAGGCCUACUGUAACUCAUAGCAUGUGUUCAUUUCCUUACAAUACAUGUGAUUAGUGUUCGAGUUACAGUCAAUAAAACAGACCCACAACAGUUGAUUUGUGGAAAGUAAAACAUAAAAGAGAAUAUUAUUAACCCACAAGGGGGUGUGGUCAAAUGAUUUGCUGCUGAUAAAUAGGCAUAACACAAACUCAUCAUUACACUUUUGUCUUUCUACAUUACAUCAACCCCUUCAUCCUUCUUAUCAUUCAGUUAGGCCUCAUUUGGGGACGACAGGUAACCUAGUGGUUAGAGUGGAGGGGCGGCAGGUAGCCUAGUGGUUAGAGUGUAGAGGCGGCAGGUAGCCUAGUGGUUAGAGUGUAGAGGCGGCAGGUAGCCUAGUGGUUAGAGUGUAGAGGCGGCAGGUAGCCUAGUGGUUAGAGUGGAGGGGCGGCAGGUAGCCUAGUGGUUAGAGUGUAGGGGCAGCAGGUAGCCUAGUGGUUAGAGUGUAGAGGCGGCAGGUAGCCUAGUGGUUAGAGUGUAGAGGCGGCAGGCAGCCUAGUGGUUAAAGUGUUGAGCCAGUACUUGAAAGGUUGCUGGAUCGAAUCCCUGAGCUGAGAAGGUAAAAAUCUGUCGUUCUGCCCCUGAACAAGGCAGUUAACCCACUGUUCCUAGGCCGUCUUUGAAAAUAAGAAUUUGUUCAAAAACUGAUUUGCCUAGUUAAAUAAAGGUAAAAACGUAUAUUAUCAUAUAAGGUGCACAAUUACGGCCCAUUUAUUCAGUGAGGAAAGGGAGACUCAUUAGUGGCUGGCUGGGUACCAAGGUCCAACAGCACAUUGUCUUGGUGGGCAGGUAGUAGGUGGGAAAUAAACUGGUCAAAAGGAUCUUUUCUCUUCUUGAUUUCAAAAUUCACACAAAUGAGCAGUGUAAAAUACAAACAUUUAGGAGGAGCAGGACUGAUUCUAGUGUUAAAAGUCAGGGAGCAGGUCUGAUUCUAGUGUUAAAAGUCAGGGAGCAGGACUGAUUCUAGUGUUAAAAGUCAGGGAGCAGGACUGAUUCUAGUGUUAAAAGUCAGGGAGCAGGACUGAUUCUAGUGUUAAAAGUCAGGGAGCAGGACUGAUUCUAGUGUUAAAAGUCAGGGAGCAGGACUGAUUCUAGUGUUAAAAGGCAAGUCCUGCACUUUUCAACCUCAUAUUCAUCCUCUCCAGCACCAAAACAGUAUCUAUAUUUCUGAAAACAGCACCUUUCACAUUUUUAUGAUCUGUAGUUAAAAAAAAAUGAGAAGAAAACUCUUUAAAAACGGUGAUUUUCAAAACCUGCAAUGAGUUUCUAGCCCAGUAGAGGACAUUUUAUUGCUCCCCACACCACUGACAAUCUAAUUGUGUUUGAAAAAUCACUGCUUUUAAAAUCAUUCAACUUUUGAUGAUGUCAUCAGGUAGAACUUUUUAACUUCAUAUUUUUUCUACAAAACUUAGAAAUGCACCAUUUUCACAUCUGAUUUUAUUUUAUUUUUACGGCUGCAUUUGUACCUUUUUUAAAAGUAUUUUGUUUAAAUAUAAUUUGCCUCCACAACAACAUGAAUACCUGCAUACUUUCACAUACAAACCAGAGGAGGCUGGUGGAGGAGCAAUAUGAGGACAGGCUCAGUGUAAAGACUGGAAUGGAAUACAUGGAAUUAAUUUAUUUAUUCCAUUUCAGCCAUAAAAAUGAACCCGUCCUCCUAUAACACAUCCCACCAGCCUCCUCUGAAUGUCUCUGUUCUGUUAAAAGAGAAGUGGAGAAUACCACAUAUUGUUUCUGUUGUAUCUAAAUGUAUCUACAUUAAACCACAUGUUUUGUUCUUAAGACUGAUGGGGAAGAGUGGAGUGUAAAGGAUUUUGCAACACUACUGUAGUUAGCGCAACCUUGUGACUCUGUUAUGGCUAGGGGGCAGUAUUUUCACGGCUGGAUAAAAAACGUACCCGAUUUAAUCUGGUUACUACUCCUGCCCAGUAACUAGAAUAUGCAUAUAAUUAUUGGCUUUGGAUAGAAAACACCCUAAAGUUUCUAAAACUGUUUGAAUGGUGUUUGUGAGUAUAACAGAACUCAUAUGGCAGGCAAAAACCUGAGAAGAUUUCAUGCAGGAAGUGGCCUGUCUGACAAGGUGUCGUUCUUCUUGUCUCUGUUUAUUGAAGAGUGAGGAUCUUAGUGUCCCGUGACACUUCCUACGGCUGCCAUAGGCUCUCAGAAGGCGGCAAAACGCUGAAUCGUGGCUUUGCAGGCUCUGGCUGAAACAAAGUAGCGCGUUUGGGUAGUGGCUGGUUACAGUACUGUGAGACUCAGGCUCGUGCCCGCGUCGACCGAAAGCUUUGUUUUCUUUCCUCUGUUUAGCUAAAUGGACAUUCCCGGUCUGAAUAUUAUCGCUUUUUUACGAGAAAAAAUGGCAUAAAAAUGGAUUUUAAACAGCGGUUGACAUGCUUCGAAAUACGGUAAUGGAAUAUUUAGAUUUUUUUUGUCACGAAUUGCGCCAUGCGCGCGACCCUGAUUUACCAUUUCAGAUAGUGUCUGGGACGCACGAACAAAACGCCGCUAUUCGGAUAUAACGAUGGAUUAUUUUGGACCAAACCAACAUUUGUUAUUGAAGUAGCAGUCCUGGGAGUGCAUUCUGACGAAGACAACAAAAGGUAAUCAAACUUUUAUAAUAGUAAAUCUGAUAUUGGUGAGUGCUAAACUUGCCGGGUGUCUAAAUAGCUAGCCCGUGAU